CUAAUGUUUACUUUAUUUUGAGUAACUUUUUUUAAUGGUUUUGUUUUUGUUUUGACAGAUUUUCUGUAUUUUUUUCCCCAAGCAAAACCUAUGGAUGCAUAAAACAAAUGAACAAAUACAAUGGGAUUCAUCUUUGAUGUAUUUCUGUAACAACCAGUGGUUGCUUCCUUUAGAUUACUCAGGAACUGGUUACAACGCAAUUAGCAGCAAUACCUGCAGAAAACAUUUCCUGUAGUUAUUUAUGCAUUUCACUCUGCUGUGUCUCAGUCCUACUCGGUGACAUUGUCGUUUUUGAGCAUGAUUUGGGUUGCCACAGCAUUUCAGUGGAGUUAAAGUGCAAACAUGAAGCGCCCUGUUUUCAAACCUUUAUUCUGAGGCCUGAGACGUUUCAGAUCAUUGUCUUGCAGCAUGAGCCAGCUGUGCUUCAGCAUCAGUACACAGACAGACGGACAGCUUCACUUGAAGAACAGAAUCAAAAUUCCUUUACUGAAAAGGCAUCUAGUUCCUGAAGCAGAUAAACAUCAGUGUCUGCUGCUAUGAAGAGGUUUUUAUGAAAUGAAGAUUGAAAACCAAAAAAUGCACUUGUCUGAACACAUACCAUGUAAAAUAUAUAAACUUUUUGAACAGCAUUAUAAUUGCUGUUUGAUUUGUUUGAAAUUGUUUAAAAAAAGAAACCAGAAAACUGUUUUCAAUAAAUCAAUUGUUAAUUGAGCAUCAUCAUUGUGGUUUUACCAAGUAAACCUAUUUUUUUCAGCUUUUUCAGGAAGUGACAUGCUCAACAAUUUCUCACCUCGCUGCUCUGGAGCUCACUCUUCUUUUCUGUUGCAGCUUCAGUGAUCAGAUAAAACCAUGAAGCCGUUUGGACUCUGUUUUUCUGCUGUGUGCAUAUUGUGCUGCUGCUGUCUUGUGUGUGGCAGAGGUCAGUAGAUGUCUUCUGUUUAUUAUCUGUAUUAUAACCUAUACUGCUUUUAUUGCACUUCUUAUUUGAUUUUUUUCCACUUUAUCAAGCUCUUGUCUAUGUCAAUCUUUCACACAGGUCAAGGUGUGUGCAGUGUAGGGAAGUUCAUUACCAGAAUCAAUUUAACCACAGAACUACAGUCUGAAAUCCUGCUGCCGUGCCUUUUUGAAGCAGCUCUCAUUGGAUCAAACCUGAACAUGAGUUCACUUGCUGUGUGGAAUCACAUUACUGAAACCACUGACGGCAUUGUAGAGAUCAAAGUAAAUGAUCAUGAAAUCUUCUGGAAUAACAGAGGCAAUAGAAUUAAGGCAUUCGGUGCUGCUGCUGCAUCUGGAAACUUCUCCAUCCUGAUUGAAGAUGUGCAGCUGUCUGAUCUGGGGCUCUACCGCUGUGAACAUUUCAUAGAUACCAACUGUUCUCUGGGCUAUAAAGAGAUAAACAUCAGUCUGGCUGCUGAGUUUUCACCGCUCAAUAACUGGCAGCUCAUAGUUGCUGCAGGAGGAGGAGGAGGAUUCCUUCUUCUCUGUCUGAUCACCGUGUGUGUUUACUGGACAUGGACAAAACGACAAACAGUUGAUGCAUCAGUCAACCACACAUCACACAAUUGUCAUGACAGUGAAGGACAAAAAAAUGAUGAAAUAACCUAUGCGUCAGUUGUUCCUAAGUCACACAAUUGCCAUAACAGUGAAGGACCAAAAAAUGAUGAAAUAACCUAUGCAUCAGUUGCUCUUAAAUCACACAACUGCCAUGACAGUGAAGUUCUUCUGAAUAAUAAACCUGUAAAAGGCUCUGCAUCAGAAACCAUGGUCAACCCAGAGACGGUCCUUUACUCUACCCUCAAGCAAAGAGAGGGAAGAUGA
rnacentral:lncRNA from 1 species